CCUACGGGUGACAGCAGUGAGGAAUAUUGGUCAAUGGGCGCGAGCCUGAACCAGCCAAGUAGCGUGAAGGAUGACUGCCCUACGGGUUGUAAACUUCUUUUAUAAAGGAAUAAAGUGAGGCACGUGUGCCGUUUUGUAUGUACUUGAUGAAUAAGGAUCGGCUAACUCCGUGCCAGCAGCCGCGGUAAUACGGAGGAUCCGAGCGUUAUCCGGAUUUAUUGGGUUUAAAGGGAGCGUAGACGGGUUGUUAAGUCAGUUGUGAAAGUUUGCGGCUCAACCGUCAAAUUGCCAUUGAUACUGGUAGUCUUGAGUACAGUUGAGGUAGGCGGAAUUCGUGGUGUAGCGGUGAAAUGCUUAGAUAGCACGCAGAACUCCGAUUGCGAAGGCAGCUUACUAAACUUCCACUGACAUUGAUGCUCGAAAGUGUGGGUAUCAAACAGGAUUAGAUACCCCUGUAGUC
rnacentral:rRNA from 1 species